AAUGGGUCAGCGACUUAUAUUCUGUAGCAAGGUUAACCGAAUAGGGGAGCCGAAGGGAAACCGAGUCUUAACUGGGCGUUAAGUUGCAGGGUAUAGACCCGAAACCCGGUGAUCUAGCCAUGGGCAGGUUGAAGGUUGGGUAACACUAACUGGAGGACCGAACCGACUAAUGUUGAAAAAUUAGCGGAUGACUUGUGGCUGGGGGUGAAAGGCCAAUCAAACCGGGAGAUAGCUGGUUCUCCCCGAAAGCUAUUUAGGUAGCGCCUCGUGAACUCAUCUCCGGGGGUAGAGCACUGUUUCGGCAAGGGGGUCAUCCCGACUUACCAACCCGAUGCAAACUGCGAAUACCGGAGAAUGUUAUCACGGGAGACACACGGCGGGUGCUAACGUCCGUCGUGAAGAGGGAAACAACCCAGACCGCCAGCUAAGGUCCCAAAGUCAUGGUUAAGUGGGAAACGAUGUGGGAAGGCCCAGACAGCCAGGAUGUUGGCUUAGAAGCAGCCAUCAUUUAAAGAAAGCGUAAUAGCUCACUGGUCGAGUCGGCCUGCGCGGAAGAUGUAACGGGGCUAAACCAUGCACCGAAGCUGCGGCAGCGACGCUUAUGCGUUGUUGGGUAGGGGAGCGUUCUGUAAGCCUGUGAAGGUGUGCUGUGAGGCAUGCUGGAGGUAUCAGAAGUGCGAAUGCUGACAUAAGUAACGAUAAAGCGGGUGAAAAGCCCGCUCGCCGGAAGACCAAGGGUUCCUGUCCAACGUUAAUCGGGGCAGGGUGAGUCGACCCCUAAGGCGAGGCCGAAAGGCGUAGUCGAUGGGAAACAGGUUAAUAUUCCUGUACUUGGUGUUACUGCGAAGGGGGGACGGAGAAGGCUAUGUUGGCCGGGCGACGGUUGUCCCGGUUUAAGCGUGUAGGCUGGUUUUCCAGGCAAAUCCGGAAAAUCAAGGCUGAGGCGUGAUGACGAGGCACUACGGUGCUGAAGCAACAAAUGCCCUGCUUCCAGGAAAAGCCUCUAAGCAUCAGGUAACAUCAAAUCGUACCCCAAACCGACACAGGUGGUCAGGUAGAGAAUACCAAGGCGCUUGAGAGAACUCGGGUGAAGGAACUAGGCAAAAUGGUGCCGUAACUUCGGGAGAAGGCACGCUGAUAUGUAGGUGAAGCGACUUGCUCGUGGAGCUGAAAUCAGUCGAAGAUACCAGCUGGCUGCAACUGUUUAUUAAAAACACAGCACUGUGCAAACACGAAAGUGGACGUAUACGGUGUGACGCCUGCCCGGUGCCGGAAGGUUAAUUGAUGGGGU
rnacentral:rRNA from 1 species